GACGAACGCUGGCGGCGUGCUUAACACAUGCAAGUCGAACGGAAAGGCCCUUCGGGGUACUCGAGUGGCGAACGGGUGAGUAACACGUGGGUGAUCUGCCCUGCACUUUGGGAUAAGCCUGGGAAACUGGGUCUAAUACCGAAUAGGACCACGCGCUUCAUGGUGUGUGGUGGAAAGCUUUUGCAGUGUGGGAUGGGCCCGCGGCCUAUCAGCUUGUUGGUGGGGUAAUGGCCUACCAAGGCGACGACGGGUAGCCGGCCUGAGAGGGUGACCGGCCACACGGGGACUGAGAUACGGCCCAGACUCCUACGGGAGGCAGCGGUGGGGAAUGUGGCACAAUGGGCGAAAGCCUGAUGCAGCGACGCAGGGUGAGGGAUGACGACCUUCGGGUUGAAAACGUCGUACGAUAGGGACGAAGCGCAAGUGACGGUACGUAAAGAAGAAGCACCGGCCAACUACGGG
rnacentral:rRNA from 1 species